GACCUAAGAGAGAUACAAUUGAAAAGGGGCUUAAAGAUCACCAUGUAGUAAAUCAAAAGGAGCAUGAGAAAUAGAAGUACUUGAGGGAAAGUAUUUUUUUUUGUUUAGCAUAAUGACAAGAGUCACAAGGAGACUAAUUAUUCUUAAUAGAUAUAGAGAGGGGAAACUUUGAAAUGGCAUGCAAGACAAUAUGAGAAGUGUGA
rnacentral:lncRNA from 1 species